GACGAACCACACGAACGUUAUUCGGAAUUACUGGGCUUAAAGGGUGCGUAGGCUGUGCAGAAAGUUAGGUGUGAAAUCCCCCGGCUCAACCGGGGAAUUGCGCUUAAAACUACUGUGCUAGAGGAAUACAGAGGUGAGCGGAACUUCGGGUGGAGCGGUGAAAUGCGUUGAUAUCCGAAGGAACACCGGUGGCGAAAGCGGCUCACUGGGUAUUUUCUGACGCUGAUGCACGAAAGCUAGGGGAGCAAACGGG
rnacentral:rRNA from 2 species